UACGUAGGGUGCAAGCGUUUAAUCGGAAUUACUGGGCGUAAAGCGCACGUAGGCGGCUUUGUAAGUUAGAGGUGAAAGCCCAGGGCUUAACCCUGGAAUUGCCUUUAAGACUGCAUCGCUAGAAUUGUGGAGAGGUAAGUGGAAUUCCGAGUGUAGAGGUGAAAUUCGUAGAUAUUCGGAAGAACACCAGUGGCGAAGGCGACUUACUGGACACAUAUUGACGCUGAGGUGCGAAAGCGUGGGGAGCAAACAGG
rnacentral:rRNA from 1 species